UCCGGUUUGUCACCGGCAGUCCCUCUAGAGUGCCCAACUUAAUGAUGGCAACUAGAGGCGAGGGUUGCGCUCGUUGCGGGACUUAACCCAACAUCUCACGACACGAGCUGACGACAGCCAUGCACCACCUGUGACGGUGCCCCGAAGGGAAGCCGUGUUUCCACGGCGUUUCCCCCCUAUGCAGGUGCAUGUCAAGCCUGGGUAAGGUUCUUCGCGUUGCGUCGAAUUAAACCACAUGCUCCACCGCUUGUGCGGGCCCCCGUCAAUUCUUUUGAGUUUUAGCCUUGCGGCCGUACUCCCCAGGCGGGACACUUAACGCGUUAACUGCGGCACAGAGGGAUUCGACUCCCCCCACACCUAGUGUCCAUCGUUUACGGCUAGGACUAC
rnacentral:misc_RNA from 1 species